AGAGUUUGAUCCUGGCUCAGGAUGAACGCUAGCGACAGGCCUAACACAUGCAAGUCGAGGGGCAGCGGGGAGGUAGCAAUACCUUUGCCGGCGACCGGCGCACGGGUGAGUAACACGUAUGCAAUCCACCUGUAACAGGGGGAUAACCCGGAGAAAUCCGGACUAAUACCCCAUAAUAUGGGCUCUCCGCAUGGAGGGUCCAUUAAAGAGAGCAAUUUUGGUUACAGACGAGCAUGCGCUCCAUUAGCCAGUUGGCGGGGUAACGGCCCACCAAAGCGACGAUGGAUAGGGGUUCUGAGAGGAAGGUCCCCCACAUUGGAACUGAGACACGGUCCAAACUCCUACGGGAGGCAGCAGUGAGGAAUAUUGGUCAAUGGUCGGCAGACUGAACCAGCCAAGUCGCGUGAGGGAAGACGGCCCUACGGGUUGUAAACCUCUUUUGUCGGAGAGUAAAGUACGCUACGUGUAGCGUAUUGCAAGUAUCCGAAGAAAAAGCAUCGGCUAACUCCGUGCCAGCAGCCGCGGUAAUACGGAGGAUGCAAGCGUUAUCCGGAUUUAUUGGGUUUAAAGGGUGCGUAGGCGGCACGCCAAGUCAGCGGUGAAAUUUUCGGGCUCAACCCGGACUGUGCCGUUGAAACUGGCGAGCUAGAGUGCACAAGAGGCAGGCGGAAUGCGUGGUGUAGCGGUGAAAUGCAUAGAUAUCACGCAGAACCCCGAUUGCGAAGGCAGCCUGCUAGGGUGCGACAGACGCUGAGGCACGAAAGCGUGGGUAUCGAACAGGAUUAGAUACCCUGGUAGUCCACGCAGUAAACGAUGAAUACUAACUGUUUGCGAUACAAUGUAAGCGGUACAGCGAAAGCGUUAAGUAUUCCACCUGGGGAGUACGCCGGCAACGGUGAAACUCAA
rnacentral:rRNA from 1 species